rnacentral:rRNA from 1 species
UUCGGAAUCACUGGGCGUAAAGGGCGCGUAGGCGGCUUUAUAAGUCGGGGGUGAAAGCCUGUGGCUCAACCACAGAAUUGCCUUCGAUACUGUAGAGCUUGAGACCGGAAGAGGUAAGUGGAACUGCGAGUGUAGAGGUGAAAUUCGUAGAUAUUCGCAAGAACACCAGUGGCGAAGGCGGCUUACUGGUCCGGUUCUGACGCUGAGGCGCGAAAGCGUGGGGAGCAAACAGG